AAAGACCUCCAGCUUGGAAGUUUCUGUGGACCCCCUGGGGAGGAGCCUGCGGAAACCUCCUCGAGCCAUUUCCACCCUCCAGGCUUUUCUGGCAGCCCUGCAGGUCCCUAAACAUAGAAGCCUGCGUUCAUGGAUAGAGCGUUGGAACAGCAAGCAGAAAUUUUGGUUUUCAGGAUUCCAGAUGCCACAGGAGCUAAUCUGGACAUCGCCUCAGAUGGAGUUUUAAACAAAGAAGACUCUUUCUGAAUGCCAGUAUAAGAAGAACCAGCUAAAGAGGAUGGAGCUGGCCUGGGAGCUCUGUGAGUUAUCAGGUAAAUGUUAUGUCUGGAGUACCGACUGAGAUAACCAAGCCUUAUGGGGCCUUGGAUCAAUUUAAUUCUGAUGAAUGACCAGUUUGGUAAAUAUUAUUUACAUUACUACACAAGUCAGGUCUGUUCCAUUAAUGUUUGAACAACCCACAGAGACUGCUGUGGCGUAGCCUCUCGGGUAAUCCCCACGGACUGGC